AUUUAAGUAGCUCAGUCUGGUAGAGCAGCGAAACACGAUUUCGUCGGUCAUGGGUUCAAAUCCCAUCUUAAACC
rnacentral:tRNA from 2 species